AUGUGGGCAGGGAAGCAGAGACAGAGAGCCAGACGGAGAUGCAGAGAUGGUCAGGUGUUUAGCCAGGCAAAGGAGAGAGCCAGCAAGACAGAAGAGACACAGAGACGUGGGGACAGAAAGACCGACAGCAGGAGAAGCGGUCAGACAGGAUGGUGGGAGACAGCAGGAGAGAGAGGUGAGGACUCCCAGCAGAGACAGAGAUGGGGAGAAAACAAAGAGGUUUGGGGAGAGAGGGUGCAAACACAGAGACCAGAAGAACCUCAGCAGGGUGGAGGUGGGGAAAGACGGCGAGACAGCGAGAGGGAACAAGCCAGAGACACGGACAGGAGAGGAGACAGGGAGACAGUGAGCCAAGCGCUCUUCCUCAGGGGCCGGGCUGGAGCGUUUGGGGAGGGGCUGGGAACCAGCCUGUGGUGCCCGAGUGGAGGGGGUGGAAUUCAACACUGGGAGGCCCCGGAAAUGGAAUGUGGGUACCCAGACCGGGGUCUGGGAGAGGCCAGGAGUAGGAGGGCUGCCUCAGCCUCUCAGCCCGGGAGAAGGCUGGGCGGCCACACUCCUGGGACUGAGGGAGGUGGGCGCCGGGGCCUGGGACCCCAGGUUUGGGAGGUGGCUGGGAUCCACUCCUGUGUGGGAAGCGGUAUGGAUUCCUGGGUCCCAGGGGCAGAGAGGAUUGAGGGAGGGGGCUGGGCUCCUAAGACAAGGGAGAGGAGGGGACUGGGGGCUCCACUGCCGGAAUGCUUCAGGGAGGAGGCUGCUGGGGGCCAGGCCCCUGGACGCCUGCCCCCCACCAAGGCUGCUGGGGUCCUGAGCCCUAGGUGCCCAAGGAGGUGGGGGGGGGGCGAUCUCCCCACUGGGCCCAGCCUGCGGUUCCCCGCAGGCCUGAUCAGCAGAAUUGGGGCCGCAGUUCGAGGCCUCACAGGUUUCUGGGCCCAGGGCCUGGGGCUCGGCCCUGAUCGCUGGGCGCAGGGUUCUUACCUCCGCCUCCUUCGCUCCUUUCUUCCUUCCCCGCGGCCGGCCAAACGCGGACGGUGGUGGCGGGGAGGGAGGGAGGGAGGGCCCGAGCGUGGUGGGGGGUGGAGGAGGCUGGGCUCGGUGUCACCGCCUAAGCCUUCCCCCCGGAAACCCGGUCUUUCCACGGAGCCCCGAAGAGGAAAGACUGGCUGGGAAGCCGGAAGCGGGAGGACGAGGGGACCCAGGGGGCGGGGAGGGAGGGCGGCUUGGAUUCCUGGGUCCUGCACGGGGAGGGGGCUGCGGGUCUGGGAGGCCGGGUCCAGCUCCCCUCCCCACCCCAACAGACACACAUAUUCAUUCAUGGCUUCAACAAAUACACAUUUAUCAGGUCCUGUCUGUGCCAGGCACUGUGUCGGGCGAGGGGGGUGCCAGGGGACCGCGAUGAAUGAGGCGGUGGCAGAGGCCUCAGGGAAAGUGGGGGCGCUCUGGACUAGAACCCGAUUCCAGCCAUCACUUGGCUGCCUGAGCAAGCGACUUCCCCUUCUCCUGGCCUCAGCGUACCCCUCCAUGAUAAGCCCUGUGCAUAAUCAUUCGCUCCUAAGACACCAGUAUUUACUGAGCACCUACUCCAAGUCCGUUCUGCAUAUUCCUUGCCACACAUACUCCAUCCUAAGCUACCGAGAUCCGCUGAGCACCUACUAUGGGCUAGCUCUGUCCUUGGUGCUGGAGCUUCAGUGGCAAAGACACAGGCCAUUGGACCCUGUCUGCAGGAAUCUCAAGGAGGACACAGCCAGACACAGAUCCAAUUGCCCUCCUGGAAAAAUGUGCUCUGUCGCAGGAAAGAGGGUUUGGUGGGAACACAGAGAACAGAGACGGCACUGA
ensembl:lncRNA